AUUGAACGCUGGCGGCAUGCCUUACACAUGCAAGUCGAACGGCAGCAUGGGUGCUUGCACCUGAUGGCGAGUGGCGAACGGGCGAGUAAUGCAUCGGAACGUACCCGGAAGUGGGGGAUAACGUAGCGAAAGUUACGCUAAUACCGCAUAUUCUGUGAGCAGGAAAGCGGGGGAUCGCAAGACCUCGCGCUUCCGGAGCGGCCGAUGUCGGAUUAGCUAGUUGGCGGGGUAAAGGCCCACCAAGGCAACGAUCCGUAGCGGGUCUGAGAGGAUGAUCCGCCACACUGGGACUGAGACACGGCCCAGACUCCUACGGGAGGCAGCAGUGGGGAAUUUUGGACAAUGGGGGGCAACCCUGAUCCAGCCAUGCCGCGUGAGUGAAGAAGGCCUUCGGGUUGUAAAGACUCUUUCGGUCUGGGAAGAAAGUACGCAUCUCCUAAUACGGGUGUGGAGUGACGGUACCGAGCAUAAGAAGCACCGGCUAACUACGUGCCAGCAG
rnacentral:rRNA from 1 species